rnacentral:rRNA from 1 species
GACGAACGCUGGCGGCGUGCUUAACACAUGCAAGUCGUACGGUAAGGCCCUUUCGGGGGUACACGAGUGGCGAACGGGUGAGUAACACGUGAGUAACCUGCCCACAACUUUGGGAUAACGCUAGGAAACUGGUGCUAAUACUGGAUAUGUGCUCCUGCUGCAUGGUGGGGGUUGGAAAGCUCCGGCGGUUGUGGAUGGACUCGCGGCCUAUCAGCUUGUUGGUGGGGAAGUGGCCUACCAAGGCGGCGACGGGUAGCCGGCCUGAGAGGGUGACCGGCCACAUUGGGACUGAGAUACGGCCCAGACUCCUACGGGAGGCAGCAGUGGGGAAUAUUGCACAAUGGGCGCAAGCCUGAUGCAGCAACGCCGCGUGCGGGAUGACGGCCUUCGGGUUGUAAACCGCUUUCAGCAGGGACGAAGCUUUUUGUGACGGUACCUGCAGAAGAAGCACCGGCUAACUACGUG